rnacentral:miRNA from 1 species
GCUGACCCCUAGUCCAGUGCUU